AGAGGAUUGGUGUAAUGGUAGCAUGACGGUCUCCAAAACCGNNCAAAACCGUUCGUCAAGGUUCGAGUCCUUGAUCCUCUGCCA
rnacentral:tRNA from 1 species